rnacentral:rRNA from 1 species
UAGGGAAUCUUCCGCAAUGGGCGAAAGCCUGACGGAGCAACGCCGCGUGAGUGAUGAAGGGUUUCGGCUCGUAAAACUCUGUUAUUAGGGAAGAACAAACGUGUAAGUAACUGUGCACGUCUUGACGGUACCUAAUCAGAAAGCCACGGCUAACUACGUGCCAGCAGCCGCGGUAAUACGUAGGUGGCAAGCGUUAUCCGGAAUUAUUGGGCGUAAAGCGCGCGUAGGCGGUUUCUUAAGUCUGAUGUGAAAGCCCACGGCUCAACCGUGGAGGGUCAUUGGAAACUGGGAAACUUGAGUGCAGAAGAGGAAAGUGGAAUUCCAUGUGUAGCGGUGAAAUGCGCAGAGAUAUGGAGGAACACCAGUGGCGAAGGCGACUUUCUGGUCUGUAACUGACGCUGAUGUGCGAAAGCGUGGGGAUCAAACAGGAUUAGAUACCCUGGUAGUCCACGCCGUAAACGAUGAGUGCUAAGUGUUAGGGGGUUUCCGCCCCUUAGUGCUGCAGCUAACGCCAUUAAGCACUUCCGCCUGGGGAGUACGACCCGCAAGGUUUG